GCACCUGCUGUUCCGCCUGCAGAUGGGCUGCCUCUUCCUUUCACAUCCUUCUUCCUGCAGUCCCAUUUCCAAAGGGAGGCCAUCCCCACAUCCUUCCUGGCAGUCUAGGGGUCUCCAUAGUGCAGGAUUGGACCACCUGCUUGGCAUGCAGGUCUUCUGUCCUGGGCGGCAUCUCCGGGGGGAGGGGGCUGGGAAUGCCCCCCCAUAUGAAACCCUGGAGAGCUCCUGCCAGUCAGUGCAGGCUAGCUGAAGAAGGAGAUUGAGCAGCUGGAAGGUGAGCAGAGGAGGGCGACCAGGAUGAUGAAGGGUCCGGAAACCAAGCCUGAUGAGGAACGGUUGAGGCAGUUGGAAACCAAGCCUGAUGAGGAACGGUUGAGGCAGCUGGGUAUGUUUAGCCUGGAGAAGAGGAAACUGAGAGGAGAGCCAUCUUCCAAUAUCUGAGGGCUGCCAGAGGGAGCAAGCUUGUUUUCUGCUGCUCCAGAGGCGAGGGGAAGAGAGGAGAGGAGAUUUGGACUAAACAUUAGGAAGAACUUUCUGAAGGUAAGACUCUCUGGGACGGUGGUGGACUGUCCUUAUUUGGAGGCCUUUAAGCAGAGGUUUGAUGCCAAUCUGCGAGGGAUUCAGCUGCAAUUUGGGGAGGGCAUAGUACUGGCCUACUUUACAGGGUUGUUGUAAACACACAGGGCAGCUGAGCAUCCGAAACUCCCUGACAAUUAACAACUGCAGCAAGGAUUCCAAUAGCAAGAAAUUGGAAAAGCGAUACCAUCCCUUUAAAGAUCGAAUGGCAAGCUAAAUUAAUAGAGUAUUUACAGCUAGCAAGGAGAACUGGGACAGUGAGAGAAAACUCAACACAAGAUGUUAAUAAGGAAUGGAUUAUAAUUAAGGAAUAUCUCAAAGGGUACUGUGAUAAUAAAUGUUUCCUGGCAGAUAUCGAAUGAGUCUUGUGAUAGAAGGAAGCAUUAGAAAAAGUUUAAACUAAGAUAAGG